rnacentral:tRNA from 1 species
GAUUAGCUCAGUUGGUAGAGCAAUUGACUCUUAAUCAAUGGGUCCAGGGUUCGAAUCCCUG